UUCUUUGUCUAGAGGCAGAGGAGGAAAUUUAACUUCAUGGAGGGACUUCUCCAAGAGUGCAGAAGGACUUUCUGAACACAGUUCUUUUGAUCUCCUUGACUGCUUUCUAUAUUGAACUUCCUCAAAUCCACAUCUUAGUGCAUCUUAGUGCAGCAUUCUACAUUUGGAUUUUCAAUUUAGCUGAAGGAUCUGUAAAAACUUGUGUUGCUCCAAAACUCCCAGUUGACCACAGAGAAAAGUCAGCCCAGGAGUAUCAAUUAUCCUUGUCAACUGUAAUUUACACGUUCUAAAAUACCUGGCAGAUCUCUUCUUUCCAGAUGCUGUAAUAGGAAUAACGUAUGCAGUAAGCUGAAAAAUUCAUCUUAAUAAUAUUGUUCUUCAGUAAUAUUUUUCAUUCUGAUUGAAGACCAAAAAGAUUUAGAUGUUACACAGAAAAAUCUAUUUGAAUACCAUUUGUAGAGUGUCUCAUAGUCAAACAAUGCCAAGAAGAGAGAAAAAAAAGGCAGUCAAAAAGAUGAAGCUCUGAAAAGCUGAAAUAAUUCUGAAAUUGCCAUUGUUUUUAUCACUCUAUCAUUCCUCUUACUUGUAUGAGGAAUCUUACUUACUUCUAUAUCAAUCUGUUAUUGUUUGUUCUUAGUUCAGUUUGCAAGCCAUUGGGGUUAAGAACAAUGGUAGUGCUCUACACUUACCUAAUUUGGUGGGAACACACGUUUUAUGUUCCUCAAGCAUGCAGAGGAUAAAUAACAAAGCAGUUUAGCAUGCAGCCUGGCAGGCUACCCUCUCUAGCAAGAGGAUAUGAUCUUCCACCAUUCCAGCUGACAUGGCUUCAGCAUUGCUUUACAAAGACAUAGCUUAAAGUAUCCUGAAUUUCUCUUGAAAUUUUCUUGCCCAUGUCCUGAUCAGACAUGUUCUGGACAAGCCUAUGAGAAAUAAAGGAACUUUAACCACAGGGUAUGUAGCUGGGAGCAGAUUUUGCUAAUGACUCCUGUAGAUUUAUUACGAACAAGGCAGAUGUAUCAGCAAGACUGAGUGAUUCCUUGGCCAUGGAAUUUAACCCUUGUUACUAACAUAU